UACUCUCGCGCUUGACCUUAAUCACGAGAAUAUAAAAUAAGACAUUGCCUCGAGGAAAAUUCUUAAUUAAUGAGAAAGCGUAAUUUAACUAUGCAUGAAUCUGGUAUGCAUGAACUAAUACUCUGAGCGAUAAUCGGGAAUUCUACUAUUAAUCCUCGUUAAUAGAUUUAGCUAAUUCUCGUCUAGCGCGGUCGAAUAAAACUGUGAUUCUUCCUUCCUCAUCGGAAUAUUCUAGUCGUGAAAUAAACCUCGCAUUUGUACUUGAUUGAAAAAGGACUAACUCGGCUUUAAACGAGGUGUGACCUUGUAGAAAUUAUCGGGCUUUUCGAUAGAAGCAUCAUUACUAGCGUAACCUCAAAUAAUUAAUAGGCUCAAAAGAGAGUAGCCAAUUAAUUAAAUAAACAAGUGGCUUUAAUGAAAUAAACAAUGUCAGCUCGCUUUAAAGUCUGAAGUCCAAAACAAUAAUUAAUAAACUGGGCGGCUCAUUUACUGAAUACGAAUCGGCUCACCGACUGAUAAAUAAUUGGGCUCCAUCAAAAUUUGAUACUGCUAGGCUUAGCUCAAAGGAGUAACUUCAGCUCAAGCUUUAAAAGAAUUAAAGCCCAACUUAAAAAGUCUUCGACCCAAAAUAAUUAAAAUAGGGGUCCAAAUAAUAAUUAAUGUGGACUGAAAAGAAUUAAUCUUAGCCCAAAAAGGCAAUUUAAUCGGCCCAAAUGAUGAAUUAAACUGGCCCAACGAAAUAUAAAUGGGACUAGAAUAAUAGCCCAUCAUAAAAUAUGCAUCAGCCCAACUCCUUAAUUAAAUCGAGCCCAAUAGGAUUAAUAAGAAGGGCCAAUUAAAUAAAAGACUGGCCCAGUUCGAAUUUAAAUGAAAGCCCAAUCUUUUAUUAAAAAAUCGGCCCAAGACUCGGCCCAACAUAAAGAAAUAACACGGCCCAGAUGAUUUAAUUCGGCCCAGUUCGAAAUUAUUAUAUGGAAGCCCAAAAACCAUUAAAAACAAUUCUCAGCCCAAAAUUUUAAAAAGGAAUAAGCCCAAAAUUCUUUAAACAAUUAGAGCCCAUCAGCAAAAUAAAGAAUAAGGCCCAAGCUUAAAAGAAUUCGGCCCAAAAGAAAAGAAUUGCAGCCCAAACUCUCUCUCUUUAGACUCUCGGUCCUUCUCUCUCUCCCAUCUCUCCUUUACCUCAAUCACAGCCGACACUCCCCUCUCUCAAACCAGCCGCACGCCUCUUCUCCCUCUCACUCUCGACUCGCCUUCACACGAGGCGUCCGCCGCCGAGACUCCAGCCGUCAUCUGCUUCGGUUGGCUUCGACCGGCGACGUCAUCUCUCUUCCUCAAUCUGCACGCAGAGUUCAAAAUCAAGCCCUAACUUCUCCUGGUAAAUCGCAGCUGCCGCACCUCCGUAUGGAAUCCGGCGAGCGGUCGGCGCCGGUCGUGGCCGUCUCUCUCUCCCUUCUGAAUCCGACGGCUGCUGUCUUCUGGAGCCAUCGCCGACUAGAGUUGCUGCUGCUCGGGCUCGGUACCGGUCGAACAGAGCGGUUGCGUCUCGUUCGUGGCUGCGUCGGCUGUUCUUCUCAACCCAAUGAAGGUGCAGCAGAAGCCCUAAUUUCCUCUCCGAUUUUGAACCGCCUCUCCCUCUCUCCCCGCUCAGCGCCGCGGCGUUUUGUAAAUCCGGCGAUAGCAGCCCCAGCCACCACCGCUCCUUCCGUCGUUGGGCCCUAGUUCUCAGAAAAAGGGAAAAACGCAACUGUCGAGCGACCGCUGCUGCUGCGCACGAGUCUCAGCUCGUCGCCGGGCAGCUGCUGUUCGGGGCUCUGAUGAGGUUGGACGAGUUCGCCCUGUCCCGACCGUCGUCGUCGUCCCCGUCCCCGUCGGGCAGUCAGCCCUUCUACAGCUAAGUUCAAUACUUAAGUCUAUGUGGAGUCUUGGUUUUUGCUACUGAUUUAUGAGAGUUUUCUCAUUGCCUUUAUCUUAAGUGAAGAAAAUAUAUACUGAUUUCUGUAUUAUGCAAGAGAUAAAACUAAGUUCGUGGUUUACUAAUGUAUCAAGAAUUUUCCUUGCUUGCCUCGUGUGAUAAGAAAAUAUAGCAUAAACUGAUUUCGAUUGCUAAGUCCCUGUGUGCAUAUAUAUACACACCUGUAUACUAUGUAUUUCCUUUUUAAACAUAUGCUUGAUGAUAUGAUGUAUGAACUGGAGCUGAGCUAAGUAUAUACCUGCUAUGCUUGGUGUUGGUGGCUGUUUGUUGCUAUUGAAUUCAAUGGGGAAGGAACUGAAAUUGCAAAUAUUGUUUUCUCAACAAAUGCAGAAAGAACCAAGUAUGGAAUGAAGAAAACUUAGGCCAAGACUCACCUCUCGAUACUUGGCAGUUGGCAGCAGCUUAAUGAAUUUUCCUCGCUUUGGUGGUUGAAGGAACUAGUAGCCUUAAAGAACUUAAAGAAUUGAAGAUGGUGGGGAGCAAAGUGGAAAAAUGUAGUGGAGGAAAGCAAAAGGUGGUGGCGUGGAGUGGAGUUAUUGGGAAGUUUGGUGGUCGGCUCUUUCAUAUACAUUCCCUACUUUUGAAUUUUCUCUCUUAUUGACUAAUGUGCCUACACUUGAGUGAAGGCAUUAAGUAAGCCUCGUAGAGUCCAAUCCUUUGUAAUAUACUAAACGAUUUUUCCCAAGCUGGGAACUAGCCUGUAAUCUAUAAACUGUAAAUAAAUACUGGCUUCGAUUUUAAAUCAUCGCA
rnacentral:lncRNA from 1 species